rnacentral:rRNA from 1 species
GACGAACGCUGGCGGCGUGCUUAACACAUGCAAGUCGAACGGUAAGGCCCUUCGGGGUACACGAGUGGCGAACGGGUGAGUAACACGUGGGUGAUCUGCCCUGCACUUCGGGAUAAGCCUGGGAAACUGGGUCUAAUACCGGAUAGGACCCUGGGAUGCAUGUCCUGGGGUGGAAAGCUUUUGCGGUGUGGGAUGGGCCCGCGGCCUAUCAGCUUGUUGGGGGGGUGAUGGCCUACCAAGGCGACGACGGGUAGCCGGCCUGGGAGGGUGACCGGCCACACUGGGACUGAGAUACGGCCCAGACUCCUACGGGAGGCAGCAGUGGGGAAUAUUGCACAAUGGGCGCAAGCCUGAUGCAGCGACGCCGCGUGAGGGAUGACUGCCUUCGGGUUGUAAACCUCUUUCAGCACCGACGAAGCGCAAGUGACGGUAGGUGCAGAAGAAGGACCGGCCAACUACGUGCCAGCCGCCGCCGUAA